UUCAAAUUCCGAUAGUUAGAUUUAUAAUGCAAACUGCCUGGGUAGGUUUGUCACACAGCAAAUUAUAUCACUAUCAACUCAUCGUCUUUUUUUUUCUGUUUACAGCUUCUCAGCCUGAACAGACAGCCUAGAAUUUUCAUCAAACUCUACUUAUCAAAUGCCCCCUAGUUAUACUAUUCCAAAACUGCUAAUUAACAAAUCAAAUCAACAUACUAAACAAGGUAAUGCUUUUAAUUGAGCCACAUCCGCAUUAUCUGGUUCAAUUAUCUCUCAAGUCAAAUCCUAUAUCAGCGUGCAUGUGGAACCCAGGAAGUAAUUUACUCGACCGCAAUGGUUCUACAAGCUACCCGUGGAAAUUGGGUUUUAAUUUGAGAAAUUAUCACAAUUGGCACUUGAUAUUUUGCCCUUUAGAAAUUAAUUUCCCCCUUAUUUUGCGUAGGCUGAGAGGAAUUUGUUCAUUCUUCUGCCAGAAGAUAAGGGUGAUGAUACCUUUCCUCAUGGAUUUGCACAUGCUACCUGACAGAAACGUACUGUUGCACACUUCCAGCAGGUCCUAGCCAAAUCAUCGAUAGUCACAGGAUUAAAUAUCAUUCUAUGGUCAAGACACCUCAGAGACCAAGAUCAUUGGACAUUGUGUAUCUAUUUUCUUCAACUGGGAUUUUAAGCUCUAACAUUGUCAGGUGUAGGAACUAAAUUCACAUCUAUAUCAUCGAUCCUGGUAGAAGAGGUGGAUGCUUGUGGUUGCAGUGAGUCUAGAGAUGACUCUCUUGAGUGUGAUGCCCCUCCUAUAUCAUAGGGAAAGAACUGUUAGCAUUUGGUAAUUAUUUUAGCUGCCCUUUAAGCUGUUGCUUUUCUUUUACUUAAGAGAUCCAUUUUCAAAAGUUUUCUACAUUUUUAACCAGUCUCUCUAUGACAGUGGGAAAUAAAAACUCGACAAAAACUGAGCUCAAUCCUUUUAUGUUUUCAAAUAAAACAGAAGUUAAAAAAUGCAAUGUAGCUGGUAUCAAGGAG